AGAAUCAACGCUGGCGGCGUGCCUAACACAUGCAAGUCGCACGAGAAAGGGACUUCGGUCCUGAGUAAAGUGGCGCACGGGUGAGUAACACGUGAAUCAUCUACCUCCGAGUGGGGAAUAACCUAGAGAAAUCUGGGCUAAUACCGCAUAACACUUACGAGUCAAAGCAGCAAUGCGCUUGGAGAGGAGUUCGCGGCAGAUUAGUUAGUUGGCGGGGUAAUGGCCCACCAAGACGAUGAUCUGUAU
rnacentral:rRNA from 1 species